CCUACGGGAGGCAGCAGCCGAGAAUAUUCGACAAUGGACGAAAGUCUGAUCGAGCGACGCCGCGUGACUGAUGAAGUCCUUCGGGACGUAAAGGUCUUUUGGAAGGGAGAAAGUUAUUGAUAGUACCUUCAGAAUAAGGAGUUGCUAAACUCGUGCCAGCAGCAGCGGUAAUACGAGUGCUCCAAGCGUUAUCCGGAAUCAUUGGGCGUAAAGGGUGUGUAGGUGGUCUUGUUAGUCUCCUGUCAAAACUUCUGGCUCAACCAGAAAUCUGCAGGGGAAACGGCAAGACUUGAGGAUGCGAGAGGUAUGCGGAACUCAUAGUGUAGGGGUGAAAUCCGUUGAUAUUAUGGGGAACACCAAAAGCGAAGGCAGCAUACUGGCGCACUCCUGACACUGAAACACGAAAGCGUGGGUAGCGAAUGGGAUUAGAUACCCCAGUAGUCCACGACCUAACGAUANAUCACUAGCUAUUACGUAGUAUACGACCUCCUGAGUGGCGAGACUAACGUACGUAAGUAGAUCGCCGUCGGUAGUACGACCGCGAAGUAAACGUACAAGAGAGUAGACGCGNGAGAGCGACGACGACGACGACGAGGAGAG
rnacentral:rRNA from 1 species